AAUAGAUACCCGGGUAGUCCACGCCGUAAACGAUGAGUGCUAAGUGUUAGAGGGGUUUCCGCCCCUUUAGUGCUGCAGCUAACGCAUUAAGCACUCCGCCUGGGGGAGUACGGUCGCAAGACUGAAACUCAAAGGAAUUGACGGGGGGCCCGCACAAGCGGUGGAGCAUGUGGUUUAAUUCGAAGCAACGCGAAGAACCUUACCAGGUCUUGACACCCUCUGACAACUCUAGAGAUAGAGCGUUCCCCCUUCGGGGGGACAGAGUGACAGGUGGUGCAUGGUUGUCGUCAGCUCGUGUCGUGAGAUGUUGGGUUAAGUCCCGCAACGAGCGCAACCCUUGAUCUUAGUUGCCAGCAUUAAGUUGGGCACUCUAAGGUGACUGCCGGUGACAAACCGGAGGAAGGUGGGGAUGACGUCAAAUCAUCAUGCCCCUUAUGACCUGGGCUACACACGUGCUACAAUGGAUGGUACAAAGGGCUGCAAGACCGCGAGGUCAAGCCAAUCCCAUAAAACCAUUCUCAGUUCGGA
rnacentral:rRNA from 1 species